CACCUUGAUUUUGGACUUCUAGCCUCCACAAAUGUGAGAAAUUCAAUUUCUG
rnacentral:miRNA from 1 species